rnacentral:rRNA from 1 species
ACGCUGGCGGCGUGCCUAAUACAUGCAAGUCGAACGGUCUUUCUAUGGAAGCUUGCUUCCACUGAGAAGAUAGUGGCGAACGGGUGAGUAACACGUGGGUAACCUGCCCAUAAGAGGGGGAUAACAUCCGGAAACGGGUGCUAAUGCCGCAUAGUUUUCUUGAUUGCAUGAUUGAGAAAGGAAAGACGGCCUUUGUGCUGUCGCUUAUGGAUGGACCCGCGGCGUAUUAGUUAGUUGGUGAGGUAACGGCUCACCAAGACGAUGUUACGUAGCCGACCUGAGAGGGUGAUCGGCCACAUUGGGACUGAGACACAGCCCAAACUCCUACGGGAGGCAGCAGUAGGGAAUCUUCCGCAAUGGACGAAAGUCUGACGGAGCAACGCCGCGUGAGUGAAGAAAGGUUUUCGGAUCGUAAAACUCUGUUGUCAGAGAAGAACAAGUUGGAGAGUAACUGCUCCAGCCUCGACGGUAUCUGACCAGAAAGCCACGGCUAACUACGUGCCAGCAGCCGC